rnacentral:lncRNA from 1 species
AGAAAUGAUCAACAAGCUAGGUUACUGUAGAGAGAGAGAAUGAUCAACAGCUAGGUUACUGUAGAGAGAAUGAUCAACAGCUAGGUUACUGUAGAGAGAAUGAUCAACAGCUAGGUUACUGUAGAGAGAGAGAAUGAUCAACAGCUAGGUUACUGUAGAGAGAAUGAUCAACAGCUAGGUUACUGUAGAGAGAGAGAAUGAUCAACAGCUAGGUUACUGUAGAGAGAAUGAUCAACAGCUAGGUUACUGUAGAGAGAAUGAUCAACAGCUAGGUUACUGUAGAGUGAGAAUGAUCAACAGCUAGGUUACUGUAGAGAGAGAGAAUGAUCAACAGCUAGGUUACUGUAGAGAGAAUGAUCAACAGCUAGGUUACUGUAGAGAGAGAGGAAUGAUCAACAGCUAGGUUACUGUAGAGAGAGAGAAUGAUCAACAGCUAGGUUACUGUAGAGAGAGAGAAUGAUCAACAGCUAGGUUAGUGUAGAGAGAGAGAAUGAUCAACAGCUAGGUUACUGUAGAGAGAGAGAAUGAUCAACAGCUAGGUUACUGUAGAGAGAGAGAAUGAUCAACAGCUAGGUUAGUGUAGAGAGAGAGAAUGAUCAACAGCUAGGUUACUGUAGAGAGAGAGAGAAUGAUCAACAGCUAGGUUACUGUAGAGAGAGAGAAUGAUCAACAGCUAGGUUACUGUAGAGAGAGAGAAUGAUCAACAGCUAGGUUACUGUAGAGAGAGAGAAUGAUCAACAGCUAGGUUACUGUAGAGAGAGAGAAUGUUCAACAGCUAGGUUACUGUAGAGAGAGGAGAAUGAUCAACAGCUAGGUUACUGUAGAGAGAGAGAAUGAUCAACAGCUAGGUUACUGUAGAGAGAGAAUGAUCAACAGCUAGGUUACUGUAGAGAGAGAGAAUGAUCAACAGCUAGGUUACUGUAGAGAGAGAGAGAAUGAUCAAGAGCUAGGUUACUUGUAGAGAGAGAGAAUGAUCAACAGCUAGGUUACUGUAGAGAGAGAGAAUGAUCAACAGCUAGGUUACUGUAGAGAGAGAAUGAUCAACAGCUAGGUUACUGUAGAGAGAGAAUGAUCAACAGCUAGGUUACUGUAGAGAGAAUGAUCAACAGCUAGGUUACUGUAGAGAGAGAGAAUGUUCAACAGCUAGGUUACUGUAGAGAGAGAGAAUGAUCAACAGCUAGGUUACUGUAGAGAGAGAGAAUGAUCAACAGCUAGGUUACUGUAGAGAGAGAAUGAUCAACAGCUAGGUUACUGUAGAGAGAGAGAAUGAUCAACAGCUAGGUUACUGUAGAGAGAGAGAGAAUGAUCAAGAGCUAGGUUACUGUAGAGAGAGAGAAUGAUCAACAGCUAGGUUACUGUAGAGAGAGAGAAUGUUCA